UUUCCAUUCACAUACCGUGGGACGCAUAAAAUUUGUACUUUGGUAGAUACAAGUAUCUAUCCAAAGCCUUGGUGCUAUUUAAAAAAUGGUUAGUGGGACUAUUGCUCAGAUGACUGUUUUGACUGUGGAGUAUCCAACGAUUUAGGAAACUCAUGUAACCAGCAAAAAGAGGGAUCACAGGGUUUUUUUUGAUAAUGCCGUAUUCCCUUGGCAUGCACGUAUUGUAAACAGAGAAAACCAACAAGUAUUGUGCAAUGGAGUUAUUUUAAGCAAUGAUCGUGUCCUAACUACAGCUAAUUGUAAAGGAUAUUAUCACAAACAUGGAAUUAAUAUAUAUGCUGGAUCAGGAACAUAUUAUAAUAACGAUGGUUAUCAAGAUGGAAGAGUUUUGUUGCACAUGAGGGCUACAACAUGAAAACAGGUGAAAAUAACAUUGCUGUAAUUGGUCUACAUAACAGAUUAGUUUGGAAUGAUAGAGUUCUUCCCAUUUGCUUUUCCAAUAAUUAUUUCCCAAUUAAGGAAGGUCAAUCAGCAACUUUUAGUGGAUCUGAUAUUGUAUUCACUUGGAGUAAUGUCCCAUCUGUUCACUUUUCCAUAGUGAAAAAAUUGAAAAAAAUAUUAACAAAGAUUGCCAAAAAAGGAUCAUCUAUGCACAACAAAAAACUCAGUAAGUGAAGGCGAAAAUGAAGGUGGACCAUUGUCAGGAUUUGAAAAGAUGUGUUCUGGUUGGGAUUUUAUCAAGCAUUAAGGAAAAUCAAAAUAUUCUUGUUUUUACAAAUAUU
rnacentral:lncRNA from 1 species